GCUGCAUCCAUCCUGCACUGAUAUCAUAGAAGACUGUUCUAGACUGCUCUUCCUAUUUUAAAUGCACAUGGACAAAUCACUUUGAGAACAACGCUUGUUCCAUGCUAUAUAUAUAUAUGAAUUGCGCAUUGCACAGUCUGCCAGCCAAGGCAAGAAUUUUGAAAUGAUUCAAGUGAAUGAAAUAUAAUUCCUAAUCCGUCUUAUCAACGCAUUCAUCAAAAUCCUAUAAGUAAUAAAAAUCUCCAAAUACAAUUUGGAAUAGCUCAUUGUGGAUAGAGUUUAAAAUAAUAUCACUUACCUUUAGGGAUUUUAACUUUGAUUUUGUUUCGUAAUUUGUGUUAUACUGCGCUCGACUUCGAUACUUUACGCCGGUUGACUCUUUCGCACGACUCUCAAGUGUGAGUAACUGAAAA